rnacentral:lncRNA from 1 species
AUCUACUCGCUGCUCGUCAGCCAUUUCGUGUUCGGCUCAAAAUAAGCCCAAGAUCGAAUUCCUCGUCUGAUAAACGAGCCGAACAUGAGAUGAAUUUUUCAUGUUAUUUAAUAAACGGGCAGAACACGAGCUGAGGUCAGCUCGCUCGUGUUCGGCUCAAUAACACCUCGAAUACCUAUAUUUUAUAUUUAUAUAAAUUUAUUUAAUUUAUAUUCAUAUUUAUCUAUAUAUAAAUAAAUAAUUAUAUAUAUAAUAUAUAUUUUUGUUAUUUGAUUUUAAGCAAAAUAAAAAUAUAAAGACGAGCGAUUCAUUUAUAUAUAAAGUUUCAACUAUUAGAUCAAAAUCUAACGGAUAAGAUUUUAUAAAUUUAUUUUUUAUAUAUAUCCAAUAUAAUCCUUUUAACUUAUUGUUCGUUGGCCAGCUCGUAAGCCAGUUCGUGUUCGACUCGUUUAUUAACGAGCUGAACACAAGCUGAAUUUUUCGACUCGAUACUUUAACGAGUCAGCUCGUGUUCGGCUCGUUGACACUUGACACCCCUAAUUUAUAAUGCCUCAUUCCUCCAAAGAAGUUCACCGUGUCACACUUGUAUCAAAUUAUCUGUAAUAAAUUAAUAAUGAAUUGAGUUGGAAUAUUUAUUUGGGCUCUUUUGCUAUCGAAUUUUUAAUCAUUGUAUUGAGUAGGUGGUUAGUUAAAUAGUAUGACCUAAACGGUGAAAUUGAUUAAAGUAUAAAUCUAAUGGUUAAAAAAUCAAUAAAAAAAGAGUCAAAAUACUAUUAAUAGUAUACCAGCUCAACUCAUUAAUAAUAUAUAUAUCUUUUCUUGAGAGAAAAGUACGACAAAAGUAUUUUUUUAUUGAUUUUUUAACCAUUAGAUUUAUACUUUAAUCAAUUGUAUACCAGCUCAACUCAUUAAUAAUAUAUAUAUCUUUUCUUGAGAGAAAAGUACGACAAAAGUAUUUUUUUAUUAAUCAUGAUAGGACGGCUGAACGUUACAUCAGUAAUUUAAUUGGUACAUUCUAAAUUUUUUUUUUAUUCUUAGGAAAGAAAAUAAUUAGGAUAAAUUCUGAACGUAUGUGACACAAUCAAAUCUCACAUCAAUACAAUAUAGAUAUUCAAAUUUAACAUCAACACAUAUUUAUAUCUAAAUUCAUAUCUAAAAAAUAUUAAAAAUAAUAUGAUGCUAACAUAUAUUUUUUUAAAAAAAAAUCCAUCAUUUUCACCUUUAAGAAAAAAAUGGAUGUUAAUAUAUAUUAGGGCAAAAUAAAAUAAUUUUCUAUUAUAUUUUUAUAUUUAUUUUAUUGUAAGUUUUAUGUUAAAAUUAUAUUUAUAUUUGUUAAAAUAUUAAAUUUUAUCAAAUAAAAUAUGGGUAUACGAAGUUUGAACAUGAGUGCGAAUUUUUAAUUGUAUUGAUUAUCUUAUCUAUAGCUAAUUUUAGGUCAUAGUUAUAUAUACAUACUAGCAUAUCGAGUGAGGCUACUAUGCUUCUGGAAGCACGGAGCCUUCCGUGCUUCCAGGUCGUUUUUGAUGUUGCGACUUUCGAAUCAUCGAACGGCUCCGUUAAACUUGAUCUAGAGUAUUUGAAGUAUAUAGAAAAUAAAUUUUGCAAUUUUUCGAUAUCAUUUGCUUAGUGAACUUUAAGGGGCUCAAAAUCAACGGCUGAAAAUAAAAAUCUUAUAAAACGUGAUAAUAUGACAUUAAAAUUUUAGAUCAAAGAUAUUGAUCUUAUUUUAUAUAGUAUAAAGAAUUUUCUAUCAAAAUUUCACGUGAUUUGGAUAUUUCUAUACCGUUAAACUUCCAAACGGCUCACCACGGUCCUUAAAAUUAUUGAUUUUGAGCCCCUUCGAUCACUAGGCAAAUGAUAUCGAAAAAUCAGAAAAUUUAUUUUCUAAGUACUUCAAAUACUCUAGAUCAAGUUUAACGGAACCGAUCGACGAUUCGAAAGUCGCAACAUCGAAAACGACCUGGAAGCACGAAAGACUCCGUGCUUCCAGAAGCAUAGUAGCCUCACUCCUAGUAUAUCUUAUUUUAUCUGAAUAAUAUUCAAAUACAGUUCUAACUUAUAUUUGAAUCUAAACCUAGGAUAAUGAAAAUUUAGCAUACGAUAUAUAUUUACAUUCAAAAAAAAAAUAUAAAUGCAAAUAUAAUUUUGUUAAAAAUUCAGUCAUAUUUGGCUGUUCGUAUAUAUCGGAUGGUACGGAUUAAUUACGCUAAAAAUCAAAAUGAGGGGCUGGAUCAACCUCGUGCCUAUUACUCACGAGAUUAUUGAAAAUUUAUUUCCCUAAUUAUUACCCCUGCGUCACAUCAACGCAAACAAAAAAAAAAGUGCCCAUAAAAAUAGCAUGGAGACCCCUCAACUAUAUGCUGUUCUGCAAUAGUCCCCUCAACUUCAAGUUACAUUUCAUUUAACUUCUAUUUUUUUAUUUAGGUUUUUACAGUUAAUUAAUAAUUAACUUACAAAUUAUAUAAAUUUAUCUGGCUUAUUUAGCUAUUAGUAAUUGAUUAAUCCAGAUUUAUUUACUGUAAAAUAAUUAAAUUAAGUCUCUGCUACGUGGACACAUCAGCACCGUCGGUGCCUCACCAUGGAGAAUCUCCACCGUUAGAUUUUGGGCCCGUUUUCCCAGGGCUUAUAAUAAACGUUAUGGUGGGGCCCACGCGGAAUUGUGUCGUAAAACUAAGAACCAAGAAGAGGCAAAGAUCGCAUAAGCAAGUAAGCAACCACCCCCGUUUCUCCCGAGGCCCAAAUAAUAUAAAAAAAUUAUAUAAAAUAAAAUAAACAUUUUUUUUUUUUUUUUUGAUUUCCUCAAAACUUUUUACUUUUUUUAGACUUAGUUGGCCCCACCACAUGCCUCUCAAGGGCUACUCAUAUAUAUAUAUAUAUAUAUAUAUAUGGGGAGCGGAUGUUAUAGCGGAUGUUAUUAAAUUACCCAUUUACCCUUUUUAGUUUCCACAAUCUUCUUCUCUUAUUAGGCUCACUGGAUUACGAGGAGAUUAAAAAUAUACAGUAAAAUUAUAAAUAUUUAUUUAUAUUUAUAUGUAAUAUUAUAUUAUAUAUAGUUUUUUGCCGUUGGAUAAAGGGAUGCACAGUUAGAAUGAUAGUGGUUCUCUAGGGUUAAGUGGAUGAUUGGUUGAACAGUAUGAUCUGACGAGUAGAAAUGAUCAAAAAGAUAAAUCUAACGGUCGAAAAUUUAUGAGUAUAAAAACUUCUAUACUUACAAGAGUAUAAUAACCGGACUUAUUUUAUAUAUAUAUAUAUAUAUAUAUAUAGAAUUAGACUGGAAUACUAUCAAUAUUACAAAUCUAUUAGUGCUAUUGAUUUUUUAGCCCUUAGAUUGAUAAAUGGAUGGUUAGGAUGAUAUGAGCUUCCUAGGGUUGAGUGAAUCGUUGGUUGAAUAGUAUAGUCUAACUGGUAAAACUAAUCAAAAGGUUAAAUCUAAAGGUGAAAAACUCGAUAGCAUCAAAUUCUUGGUGCUAUCGAUAGUACCCUAGCCGGACUCUCUCUCUCUCUCUCUCUCUCUCUCUCUCUCUCUCUCUCUCUCUCUCUCUAUAUAUAUAUAUAUAUAUAUAUAUAUAUAUAUAUAUAGAAUUAGGCUACUAUACUGUCUAUAGUACCGGAGCUCCGGUACUAUAGUCUUGUUUUCGAUCUCAGGGUGUUCAAAUUAAUGAUCCACACCGUUAAAUAUGAUCUAGGAUAUAUGAAGUUCUUAGAAAUAAAAUUUUAGUUUUUUUCAGCAUCGUUUACUUAAUAAAUAAAUUAUGUCAAAAUGGACGGCGGAAAUUGAAUAAUCUUUAAAUUUUGAGUAUAGAACUUUUAAAUUCAAGAUAAAAAAUAUUAACCUUAAUCUAGAUAGUUUAAAGUAUUUUCUAUCAAAAUUUGAAGAAAUUUAGAUUCUUCUAUACCGUUGAACUCCAAAUUCGUCAUAGUAGCCAUUGAAAGUUGACAAUUUUGAAAUGAUUUGAUCAUAAAGUAAACUAUAUCGAAAAAAUAUAAAAUUUUAUUUCUAAAAACUUUAAAUACCCUAAAUCAGUUUUAACGAUGUAGAUCGUUGAUUUGAACACCCUAAGAUCGAAAACGAGACUAUAGAAGAAUACUUUGAUCAAAUACUAUUCUACCUACCACCACUUGGAUCAAGUACUAUACCACCUACCACCACUUACCACUAUCAUCUCAACCUUAAUUUAGAUAAUUUAAAGUUUUUUCGACAUAAUUUACUUUAUGAUCAAAUCAUUUCAAAAUUGUCAACUUUCAAUGGCUACUAUGAUGAGUUUGGAGUUCAACGGUAUAAAAGAAUUUAAAUUUCUUCAAAUUUUGAUAGAAAAUACUUUAAACUAUCUAGAUUAAGGUUAAUAUUUUUUAUCUUGAAUUUAAAAGUUCUAUACUCAAAAUUUAAAGAUUAUUCAAUUUCCGCCGUCCAUUUUGACAUAAUUUAUUUAUUAAGUAAACGAUGCUGAAAAAAACUAAAAUUUUAUUUCUAAGAACUUCAUAUAUCCUAGAUCAUAUUUAACGGUGUGGAUCAUUAAUUUGAACACCCUGAGAUCGAAAACAAGACUAUAGUACCGGAGCUCCGGUACUAUAGACAGUAUAGUAGCCUAAUUCUAUAUAUAUAUAUAUAUAUAUAUAUAUAUAUAUAUAUAGAGAGAGAGAGAGAGAGAGAGAGAGAGAGAGCAGUUGAGCUAGAUACUCUCAAAAAGCACAUGAGGUGGUGGUGCUUUUGAGUUUUUAACCAUUGAAUGGAGAGAUGUAGGAUUGAGAUGAUGGUGGUAAGUGGUGGUAGAUGAUGGUAGUUGAAUAGUAUUGAUCCAGGAAUAUUUGUAAUUAAGUAGUAGAUCCAAGUGCUAGAAACUUAGAAGCACUAAGGAAUUGUGCUUCUAAAAGUAUUCUAGCUGAAUUCUCUCUCUCUAUACUAUAUAUAGGGCGUGUUUGGUUCGAAGUCGGAGUCGGAAUCGGAAUCGGAAUCAAAAUAAACUGGAAUCGGAAUCGGAAUGACUAAUUACUAUUCUGUUUGGUUCAACACCUGAAUCGGAAUCGGAAUAAAUCAUUCCCAUUAUCAGUGUUUGGUUCAGGUGGAUAUAAAAAACGUAAUCAAUUUAAUAUACUAACAUUAUCUUUAUAAUAUAUUAAUUUAAAUUCAAAUUAAAAAUUAAAUAUUAAAAAUUACAUCAAAAUUUUGAAAUAAUGUCAAAUUUUAAAAUCUAUUUUUUUUUAAAAAAUAAAACUUUGUAGUUGAGUUAGCAUAAUUCAAAAUAUGAAACUAAAUUUUAAUUUAUUCAAAUUCAAACUUAAAAUUACAAUUUAAAUUUUAAUUUGAAUCCAUAAAUUUAAUUUAAGUUUGAAAUAAAAUUUGAAUAAAACUUUAUAUAAAUUAAAAUUUAAUUUAAAUUCAAAUUCAUACGUUAGAUUCGAAAUACUUGAUUAAAUUUUAAUUUUUAAUUUAGGUUUAAAUUAAAAUUUAAAAUUAUAUAUUUAAUUUUUAAAUUUUAACUCAUAUUUUAAUUAAAAAAAUUAAAAAAAUAAAUUUAAUCCGAAUAAAUAUCCAUUCCGUCCGGAUUCAACUUUCAAUCCGGCCUCCUAGGCCGGAUUGAAAAAGAGGUGAUUGAGGGAUUCCCAUUCCACUCGGGAAUCGGAAUCGGAAUGGGACUCCCGCGUACCAAACACCCACAAACGGAUUUACCCAUUUCGAUUCCGAUUCCAGGGUGGAAAAAAAGCGAACCAAACACGCCCAUAGAGUUGAGCUAGAAUACUCUCAAAAGUACGAAGGGAUUGGUGCUUUUGAGUUUUUAACCAUUGGAUGGAGAGAUGUAGGGUUGAGAUGAUGAUGGUAGGUGAUGGUAGGUGGAACAGUAUUUGAUCCAAAGGCUAUUAAUAAUCAAGGAGUAGAUCUAAUGGCUAAAAAGUUAGAAGUAUAUAUAUAUAUAUAUAAUGAACGAGUUAUAAUACUUUAUCACAAACUGGACAAGGAUAUCUUACAUCCUUUGGCCCUAAUUUUGUUUCGCCUAAUAAAAAUUGGGAUGAAUCUUGGUACCAUAUUUGACCAUUCGAGUGUCUCGCAUACGACUAAAUGUUUAUUUUCGGAGAGUGCAUUGCAACCGAUUGAAUAUUUAUUUUUUUAACUAAUGUUGAACAUCAAUAUAAUAACCAAUAUUAUUUUCUGACAGCUUAGAGAACAAUAUUUGUUUCACUUUACUUUAAUAUAAUGUCAGAAUACAAACUCCUGACUUUGAGUUUCAUCAAAUUAAAUUUCUAGUAUUUAAUUUAAAUCCAUAUUUUAGGCAUAUCGAAAAAUUUGGAACUCUGAGAGAAAAUAUUGAAUAUAAAUAUUAAGAUAUGCGAGCAUAGCAUUUAAUUUAAGUUCAUGUAUUGGGCUAUCGAAAAAUUUUAAACUUAAACAUGAGAAAAAAAAAAUAUGAAUAUUAAAAAAUACCAUCUUCCACAACUUAAGCUAUUAAAGAACAACAAAUUUAUACUUUAAUUUAAUAAAUAAUAAUAUUAUACAAAUCGCACAAGUUUGGAGGGCGCAUUAUGUAUGAUUAAAUAUAAAUAUUUGCUUCUAUUAGUGAUGCGUUGCUUGCAUUAAUUAAAUGUUUAUUUUUGUGAAUGAUAAUAUAUUACGUAGAUCGCACUAAUAAUUCGCUUAAUAUAUUUAUUAUUCUAAUAUUUUUUACCUAAUUAUCUUAAACCUUUCUCAAUGCUAAAUGACCCCAAUAUAACUUUAAUGAUGGAAAGAACAUUUUUUUUUCACCAACAUCAUGCCUAUUACCUAAUACCAAAUGUUUGGUUGAAACGCAUUUUGAUGUAACGUUGAAGUCAUUUUGGUACAAAGCCAUAAAUCUUGGGCGCGGAUUUUGGAAUUGAUCUCGUUGCUGAAUUUUAGCGAAAUUAAUCUGUACUGUUUAAUAUCAGACAAUGCAUGUGCAUUAAUUAUGCUAAAAAUCAGCAGUUGGAUAAAUUUCGUGCACAAAAAAUUCUAUGCAUGAAGUUGCAAGAACAUGAAUAUUUUGUAACCUUUCCGUAUUUAGGACUUCCAGUAGUUUGUAAAAAGGAUUAAUCGCACCAAUGGUUUUUAAACUUUUGUGUUUAAGAAAAAUUUAGCUCUCUUUUUUUUUUUUUUUUUUCCUUUUUGCAUCCAAUUGAGUCGCGAAUAAUUUGUAUUUAUUUUAAUUACUUUUAUUAUCAUAUGGCAAGAUUUAAUGCAUAUUAUCAGUUAGAGCUGCUUUCAGUGGUGGGACUUAAUUGAAAUUAAUAAUAAGGGCAAUUGCUUAUAUUGUUUUUGAAAGUUUUCGACUUUCUCAUUUACCUCUUUUAGAAAGUUAAUAUUUAAAAUACCUUAUUUACGUUUCAACCUAUUUCAAAUAUACCACUAGAGUUAAAUUCUGUCAAUGAACUGUUAGUAAUAGUUGUUAUCUUUAUAAAAUUACUAUUUUGUCUUUUCAAAUAUACUUUUCUAUCAUCACUGACUUUUUUUAUUUGCCCUUACGUUAGAGGCACAAAAUGUACUUUGAUUUUUCGUCUUGUCAAAUAUACUCUUCUAUUAUUACCCAUAUUUCUUAUUUGUCCUUAAGUUAAGAACAAAAGAGGCAUUUUGAUUUUUUUAACUCCUGUAAAUAUUUAACUCAUAUUUAACCUAAGUUAACUUAACGGAUGGUAACUAUAGAGCUAUUUUGAAAUAACGGAGAAACAUAUAAGAAGUAUAUUGAAAAAAAAAGAAGUAGAGUUAAAUAAGAUAUUUUCGAAGUUUCGAGAGAUAUACAGGCAAUUCUCCCUUAAAGAUUGCAUGCUCUUAAUUAAUAGUUAUAUAUGACUUAUUGUAUCAUUAAAAAGUAAUGAUUGCAUGCUCUUAAUUAUCUUGUUUCUAAGCUAUAAUUAAUAAUAAUCCUAAAAUAAAUAAGAAGUCACGCUGAUCCAAUCGAGUUAUUCAAAUUCAAAUCUAUUUGAGCCUAAAAUAUGAAACAUUAAUAAAACCCAACAUUCGAAAAAGCUCGAACAAUGGUACAAAACCUAAAUAUCAUGUAACACGAAACCUUAAAAAAACUUGAAAUUCGAACUAUUUAGAUUUAAAUCGAAAUAAUUAAAAAUACGACGUAGCUUGUAUCCACAUUGACCCAAAGUUGAAUGUUGAAACAUAAAAACAAUUGAAUAAAUCUGAAAAUCGAAAUUAUACGAAUUCUUAAAAUGACCUUCAAGCCUUUUUUUUUUCUUUUUUUUUUUUCAAAAAUGAUAGUGGAUAUGACACACACAUUCAUUAUUUCUGUACAUUUAUUCUACUCUAGAAUCUAAUUAUUAUCUUAUCUUAAAAUUAUUGAUAAAUAUACAUGAGCCGAUAUAAAAAAAAAUUUAUAUCCUAAUGUAAAAAAAAGAUAAUGAUAUUAAACAGGUCCAAAAAUUUUGAAAUUUGAAUUAAUGAAAAAAAAAUGUGAAUUGAAUUUUUAAAUUGUCACGGUGGAACCGUAGCAGUUUUUUCCGUCCAACACUCACUAAAUUUCAGUUUAUUACUCCAAAACAAACUCAGUGGCAAUUUAGAUAUUACAGAGAACAGUAAUGGCAAAAGUCAAACCAUUGAUGCGGUUGUACCACCACACAGUGAUGUGAUGAUACGGUCACGGGUUCAAUAAACAAUUGCCUGAACCCGGUGUACCCUUAUAUCUCAUGAACCGCAUUAGUUUUGAUAAUAAUUUUUUAAAAAUUAAAAAUUAUUUAAUGUAAUUUUUGAAGACCCGGUGCAUGAAAGAAUUAGAUUUCAAAAGAUAGGUGCUACAUGUGCACGCUGUUUGGAGCAUACAUUUUACGUUUUUUUAAUUCAAAAAUAAGAAAUUUUUUUUAAAAUUAAUCUAAUAAUUUUAUAUUAAAACUAUGCUAAACUAUUUUUGUCUUGUACUACAAAUAUGAGAACUUUUUAUUAGAUAUUAUUUUUUUAUAUAAAAAUUAAGAUAAACUUUAAUUAUCUUUCGUAUGGUUUAAUAUUUUUUUUGACCAUCCAGUAAUUCGAAAAGUUAUAUUUAAUUAUUUUAUAAUUUUUUUACUGUAUUUUAAGUAUUUAUUUUUUGGUAGAAUAUGAGAUUGAUAUUUUUUGCAAAAUAUAUAAUAAUAUAAUAUGAUUUACUAUAUUAUAAUUUGUACCUUGUCAUCCUAUAGUUUUAGAAAAAAAAUAUCAUUUCGCUACCGUUUUUAACAGUAGUUUCUUUGAUAAUAAAAAUAAAAUUACAAAAUAAUUAAGCGUUAUGUUUUAAAUUAUAUAAUAAUAAAGUAAAAAAAGUAUGAUAAACCGCCUAUAGACAAAUUAAAGUUUACUCUAAAAAUUAAAAUUAAUUUCUUCAUUGCCCUAAUGAAAGGUUGGAAUUUCAAAAAUAUUUUUUAAAGUUGUAAAAUAUUAUUGAUGCCGUUAUAUAUAUAUAAAAUGUUAACGGUUUAUAUUUUGAGUUUGAGGUUUAUAAGAGUACUUGUAAUAUAUUUAUAUAUUAGAGGGGUAUGAAUGAUAGGUUUGCUUAUUUAGUUGGAUAAAAAUAAUGUUAGAUUUUGAAGGAAUAAUUGUAAUAUAUUAAAAUUUUGCAGGGUUAUAUUUGAAAUUGCUUCAAAAAUUAUUAGAAGACGGAAAAAAAAAAUUUUCGAAAAAAAUAUAAUUUUAGAGGGGUGGUGUAUAAGAUGUACGUGUACACGCGGUGCAGGAAAUAUUUCACACACACACACACACUCUCUCUCUCUCUCUCUCUCUCUCUCUCUCUCUCUCUCUCUAUCUCUACACCUGUCCCUCUCACUCCCUCACUCCCUCAAUUUAGCAACAUAACACCCAUAACACCCAUAACACCCACUCCUCUCUCUCUCUCUCUCUCUCUCUCUCUCCUCCUCUUCUCCCACCAUUAAAGCCCAAUUCCACUCCUCCCCCCCUCUCCCCUCCCCCUGCGCCAUGAAAGAGCUCGGGAAGCACCCACAGAGUGGUGGAGUAGUUUCUUCUUCUUCGGAUCUCAAAAGCCUCGUCUUGGUGAUGAGCACGCGGAGGACGAAGCUCUUCCUCUACGGCUUCGCCUUCGCCUUCGCCGCGCUCACCGCGUACAUCGCCAUCUUCAACCCCUCCGGCGGCGGCGGCGCCCCCUCCUCAGCCGGGGCCGGCGCCGCCGCGCCGUGGUUCAACUCCCUCUACUCCUCCGCCGCCGUGCGUACGGCCCCUUACAGGUCUCAGAUAUCGAGCUUCUUCUCCCACAUCUUCCCCAAUUCCACGGGGAAUGGGGGCGAGGUGGGAGGGAAUGGGGGCGAGAGAAGGGGAGGUGGGUCGGACAAAGAUGGGAUUUUGGGGGGUGGGAACGGGGGAAAUGGGGGAAUUGGGUCGAAGGGAGGUGGGGGAAGUGGAGUUCCUGUGAAGAAUCACACGGUUAGUGAUGUGGGUUCUCCGCAGGAUCAGAACGGGGUUUUGAGUGGUAAAGGUGGAAUCUUGGCGAAGGAGAACGACGGCGGAGGCGGAAUUGGGCUCAAGAACUCGACGGGCAAUGGGGCGGCGGCGGCGCCGGCGAAGAAGGCAAAAGAGGGAAUGUUGGAAGUGAAUAAGAACACAGGAAGUGGAGCUUCUGGGAAGAACCAAAUGGUUAAUGGUGUGAGUUCGAGCAAGAAAGACGAAAUUUUGGUGAAUAAGAACGAGAAUGGAGGCGGAAUUGCUUCGAAUGAGGCAGCGGCGCCGAAGAAGAAAAACGAAGCCCUGGAAGGGAAUGGGAAUACGGGGAGUGCGAUUACACCGCAGGGAAAUGGGGCCCCAACGAAGAAUCACAAUGAAAUUGGUGUUGGUUUGGUGAAAAAUGGGGUUUCUACCAAUAAUCAGGCGGAGGAAGCGGUCGGGUCGAAGAAAAAUGGCGCCUUGGAUGGGAAAAACCAAGCAGGAAGUGUAGUGGUUUUGCUCGGAAAUGGAGCUCCGGCCACGGAUACGACUAAAACUGAGGUUUCUAUAAAGAAUCAAUCUAAGGACAAAGUUGGUUCUCAGGGUAAUGGAGAUUCAACUAAGAAUCAGACAACGAUUGUCGUCGGCAGCGGAGUAAAAGGUGGGAAUCAAAAUCAAACAGGGAAAGGAAUUGCUUCAAAUGGUAAUGGAGUUAAUGGUACUAAACAGAAGGCAACAGUUGCUGUUUCUCAAGGAAGCGAACCUGCGGCGAAGAAUCAAUCCGUCGAAACAAUCGCGAGUGUUUCGAAAAUUAGUGCUUCUGAUGGCGGCGGGAAAAGAAUGGAUGAUUGGAUCAAAUCGAUGAUAGGUUGCGACAUAUUUCAGGGGACAUGGGUUAAAGAUGAUUCAUAUCCUCUCUACCCGGAGGGUUCCUGCCCCCACAUCGAUGAGCCGUUCGAUUGCUAUCUCAAUGGACGGCCUGAUCGCGCUUAUCAGAAGCUCCGGUGGCAGCCUAGCGGAUGCACAAUCCCAAGGUGACGAAAAUAAUAAGAAAAGUUUCAAACUUUUUGGUUUAACUCGAUUCAUGUUUAGUGUAAUGCAUAUUAAUUGCUCACCUUCUUUUUAUAGAUUGAAUGCAACUGAUAUGCUAGAGAGAUUGAGGGGAAAAAGGCUAGUUUUUGUGGGCGAUUCGCUCAAUAGGAACAUGUGGGAGUCUCUGGUUUGUGCUCUUCGGCAUUCGAUUAAAGAUAAGAAGAAGGUUUUCGAGGCGUCUGGUCGGCAAGAGUUCCGGACCGAGGGUUCAUAUUCUUUCUUAUUUACGGUUAGUUAACCAUACGUUGUCGAUGGCCGAUACUAUUAGUAUUCUUCAUUGUUCUUGUUAGUGAUUAUGAUCACUGCUUGUUGUUCUAUUUGUGGGUGGUAGGACUACAAUUGCAGUGUGGAGUUCUUUCGAUCCCCUUUCCUUGUUCAGGAAUGGGAGAUGCCGAUAAGCAACGGGAAGACGAAGGAAACUCUUCGGCUCGACAUAAUCGAGAGAUCAUCUCCGAAGUAUAAGGACGCAGAUGUUAUCGUCUUCAAUACCGGGCAUUGGUGGACGCACGAGAAAACUUCCAAAGGGUAAAGCUUCUUCCGCAACAUUGUGUCGCGCUAUCAUAUUUCAUGUAUUUUUAGGAGUUUAUAAUUGAAUUUAAGUCGCGCCAUACAGGAAGGAUUACUAUCAAGAAGGAAACCAUGUAUAUAGUGAGUUGAACGUCGUGGAUGCUUUUCAUAAAGCUCUCAACACUUGGUCCAAAUGGGUCGAUUCCAACGUGAACCCUAAGAAAGCCAUAGUGAUCUUCAGGGGCUACUCCGCGUCCCAUUUCAGGUAGAUUCGCCUUUUUCCUUUAUACCGAUUUCGAGAUCUCAAAUGUUUUCUGCUUUGUUUAGAGCGGAAUUUGAUGCUUGAUUAAUUCUUCGCAACCUCUCGUUCUAAACUUUCGUUCGAUAUGUUUAAAUGUCUAGUGGGGGACAGUGGAAUUCAGGUGGGCAAUGCGACAAAGAAACCGAGCCAAUCAAGAACGAAAAGUAUCUCUCGUCGUACCCACCGAAGAUGAGCAUAUUAGAAGAUGUGAUCAGGGGAAUGAGAACCCCUGUUGUGUAUUUGAACAUUACGAGGAUGACCGACUAUAGAAAAGACGCGCACCCUUCCAUUUACCGCAAGCAAAACCUAACCGAAGAGGAGAGGCGGUCCCCCGAGAGGUACCAGGACUGUAGCCACUGGUGCCUCCCCGGCGUGCCGGAUUCUUGGAACGAGCUACUCUACGCACAGCUUUUGAUUAAACAGCAUCAACUCUUCCACAAAUAAAAAAGCCAUAUACGUAGAUUCGGUGUUUAUACAUUAUUAUUAUUAUUAUGUAGGGGGGAUUCAAUAACCGACAAGUUGAUCAAAGCGAUGUUGUCGCGAUAAAGAGAAUGGAGUUUUCUCGAAGUAGAAAGGUUUCGAGUACUUAGCAUCUCACAUGGGAGGGAAGCAAGAUGGUAAGCUGAGACCUCCCAAUAUCGACACAGAUUCUUUAGAACCCUUUUUAUGCUUUUAGAAUGUAAAGUUGAUGUUAUGUGUUAAUUUAAAAUAGAAAGCAGUAUAUAUAUGAUUCUAAAGCAGUUUGGGUCCUCUUUGAUUGCUUCUCCUUUUCUUCUCUUUGUUGGUUCUUUGAGUAUGUUAUUACUGCAUGUAUGAUUUCGUUAUAUUUUGCUUUAAAGUUUACAUAUGCCACUGUGAGUCAAUGCAAAGUGUAUACAGAUAUUUAACUACUCAUUUUAUGAACCAGUUAUACCUUAUUUUUAUUUGCAUGGUAAUAUGUUCUCUUAGAUCUAUGACUAUAUACAUACCAGUGUUGAUCAAGAUUCUGUGAGUUACUGCUGUGGCUUCUGUGGCUGGUAAGGGUCUCUUUCAGAUCAAUCGAGAUUUCGCGAAUUUAUCAUGGUGGACCUCAUCUAAUUUAUUUCCUUUGUGUGAUCGGCAUAUAUGGUGCAAAUAUUUGUCCAUCGUGUCGGAUUCUGUACAUAUGGUUUUGCACUUUCUCACUUUAGUAUUCUAUGGCAUGUGGUUUAAAGUAUAUCAAGUUAGUACCAUGUGGUUUGACACUUUCUCACUUUAGUACUAUGUGGUUUAAAAACUACAGGGUAAUAACUUGAUACAAAAAUAAAACCACAGACUUGAUACAAAUAUAAAACCACAUAGUACUAAUUUGUUACACUUUAAACCACAGGGUACUAAAGUGAGAAAGUGCAAAACCACAUGAUACUAACUUGAUACACUUUAAACAAUACAGUACUAAAAUAAAAAAGUGCGAAACCACAGGGGGGUUUUGAAGUUUUUCCCAAAAAAAAAUUAGUUUUCAGUCUCACUUGUUCAGGAGAUUCUAAGCAUCAAGAUGGUUACAUCUAGAGAAUGUAUUUUUGUAGUGAAUUUUAAAAUUUCUACAGAAUUGUUGUCUAAGUGUAACGGUGUUUUCAGUGUUUCUUUUGCUUCUGUAGAUCAUUGUACUGUUUUGGAGACCCGUGAUUAGGGGUGGAAACGAGCCGAGCUCGAGCGAGCUUACCUCGGCUCAAAUUCGGCUUGAAAUUAAUUUCGAGCCUAAAUUUAAGCUCAAGCUUGGAUUGAAAUUAAUUCGAGCCGAGCUCGAGCGAGCCUAAUUUCAAGUCGAGCGAGCUCGAGCCCUAAACGAGCCGCUUGAAAUUCUCAACAUUAUACGAUCAAUAGUUUAAUUUGUAUAAAACAUUAUCUAUAAUUUGAUACAAAAAUAUGUCUAAUAGUUCAAAGUACAAAAUAAUUAUAUGAAAUAUAGUAUUAUAAUAUGAAAAAUAAUAAUUUAUGAGUUGAAUAUCUAAUUUUUUCAGCCUCACAUGUUUUUUCUUCCGCCUUCAAUCUCUAUAUUAUUCAUUUUCAUUUAUGCAGUCAAAAAUAAAUAAAUUAUAUAGAUAAAUAUUGGAUUAAACUAUCCAAUCAUAUAUAACUAAAAUUAAAAUUUUAUAUGAAUAAUAAUUUUUUACUUUAAAAAUAUUCUGUAUAUUUUCUCAAGCAUACAAUUAAUAGCAAGGUAGCCAACGGCGAGCAUACGAUAUUACUUGGUAACUUAGAGGGCUUCCGGCUUGGCCACUUAGGGUGAGAGACAGAAAAAAAGAAAGAGAGAAACAUAUUGAAAAUUUAAAGCUCUGUGAAAGAAAGAAUGAAAGAAAGAAUGAAAGGAAAAAUAUAUAAAUUUAGUAAAAUUUUGCCUUUUUAUUUGUCUAUUGGAUUUGUUUUUAUGGGCCAACAACAUUAUUCACUCAGCCUAUAUAUAAUUAAAAUAUAUUAUAUUUAUAUAUUUUUUAAUAUAUAUAUAUAUAUAUAUAGUGGUACAACUACUAUGCUAUCGAAAAUAUAGAGAAUUUGAUAUUUUUGAAUAUUUGACCCUUUGAUUAAAAAUUGUAUGGUUUGGAUGAUUGCAGUCUCUCCUAAGAUUAAAUAAUACUCUUAGGAUUGAGUGGUCCCUACAAGGUAAUAAUAAUAUUAAUCCAAAGAUAAGAAAUGAUUAAAGGGAUUGAUCUAAGAAUCAAAAAAUCGAAAGUACCAGAUCUCUAUACUUUCGAUAGGAUAGUAGCUUUACUAUAUAUAUAUAUAUAUAUAUAUAUAUAUAUAUAUAUAUAUAUAUAUAUAUAUAUAUAUAUAUAUAUAUUCGAGCUUUUCGAGCCUAAUUCGAACGAGCCGAGUAAUACUCAAGCUCGGCUUGAAAUGAAUUUCGAGCCUUUUAUUUUGUUCAAGCUCGGCUCAUUUAAUUUCGAGUCGAGCUCGAGCGAGCCGAAUAUCAAGCCGAACACGAGUCGAACGCGAGCCGGCUCGCUCGUUUGCCAGCCCUAGCCCUACCCGUGAUAGAGACAACUAAGGCAUAAAUUUAUAAUUCAAAUUUUUUUGUCGUGAGCAAAACUGAUAAUGUGUUUGUGUGGGCUAUAGGCAUGUAACGCAUGUUUGAUUUUUUUUUUAAAAAAAAAAAACAAAAAACUGUAAACUUUCGAACUCGAAAAAUUAAAUGUUUUUUUUUAAAAAAAAUCUAAAAAAUUUUAUUUUAGAUUAUUGAACUUAUAUUUAUCGCAAUUGUACAAAAGAACUUGUUCACCAGUUGCUAUUGGGCUAGUUGGGCUGGGCUUGGUGAGUGGACCAUUCAAAGCCCAAUAUAUAUUUGUGGCUCUCUUUGUUGUUGAAUCAUUAACGUAUCGAUGAGCGCAUCUUUUUAUUUAUCAAAGAAAUUAUUACAAAAUAUAAUUAAGAAAUGAGGGAUGUACUAAGAUGUCAUUGACUCUAUAUUGUAUUUAACUUUCAAGUUAUUUUUAGGAAUAAAAAAUGAAGCACAUUAGAGAUGAAAUGCGUUAUUCCGAAUAAAUAAUUUUAUGCUAAUAUUUUGUGAUGGAGUAAGAGGUACCUACUCACUCACGAUUGUUUUAGAUGAUGGUGAUUAUUAUACUCAACAUUCAUGAACGAAUAUAUAAAAAUUACUAAUAAAUUCAACAUCAUUAAACUUAGGUUACGGCAUAGUUUGGGAUUGCACUUUCAAAAAAAUUGCUUUUAUAUUUAAGAAAUAUUAAAAAAGAAAAUUUAAAAGUGCUUCCACUCUUUCCACCUCCAAUAUUAUUUUAAAAUUAUGACAAGGACCAAAGUAAAAGUUGUAAUUUUAAAUUUUGUGGACCUUUAAAAGCUUAAAAAUAAACCACCACAAUGCCAAUGUGGGGGCUAAAAAUACCAACUUUAUAUAUUAUUAGAAGAUUUAGAGAAGAAAAAGGUUAAAUUAUAAAAAACCUUCUUACACUUUAGUCCUAGUCUCAAUUAUCUUCUGUAUUAAAAAUUGCAUCAAUGAUCAUCCUAUACUUUGUUAUUAUCUUAAAUAGACCAAAAAAUUUUAAAAAUUGGUAAAUUAAGUAGUAAAAUUUUAAUAAAAUAAGUUGACGUACCACAUUGUUCUACAUUUUUUUCAACAUAUAUUCAAUUUGCAACUCAAAAAAUAUAUAAAAAUUUAGAUAAAGAAAAUCUCCUAUUUUGCUCAUACUACUAAAUUUAUAGUUUAUUUACUAAUUUAUUCAAUUUAUAUGAUUCUAUUAUAUUACUUAUAGAUAACAAGUUUUAUAGCUAAAUUCAACAAUUAUCUCAAAUAGUUAACCUAUUUGAGAUAAUAACAAAGUGUAGAAAAAUGAUUGAUACACUUUUUUAUACAGGGAUUAAUUGAGAUAAAUGCUAAAGUGCUAUAAUGCUUUUUAUAAUUUAGCCAAAAAAAAACCUAAAACUUCAAAUUUCUUCUCAUUUUGAGCUAUUAAGCACCUGUUAGGCCUUGCAGUUGCGUCCCGUUCGUUACGCGAAAUCGUAAGAGAAGCAUUUUUGAGAAAAGGUCUGCGGUGCGACUAGCGAGCAUAUCAUAUUGUUAAGCCAAAUACGGCCAAAAUUAUAGCGACAACCAGCACCGACAAAAUUUGCACCAGUAACGUUUGACACUGUAAUUUUAUAAAAUAAAAUAAUAAAAAAUAAAAAAAUGUAUUUAAAUUUUUGCGCCUUAUGUAAAACAAAAUCAGUAAUUUUUAAUCACCAUAUUAUCAAAUAAAAUCUAAGUCUGAUUAAAUUUGAUUCACAAAUUACGAUGGAAAAAAAAAGGGAAAAAAAAAAAGAAGAAAGAUCCAACGAAUCUGGUGUCACCGCUGACGGCGCCACUGGAAAAGAAACAUAUGAUACCAGACAGCAGACGAAAAAAAUAAUGCGCUCCUCAGGGUACUGCCUGCUGCGGCCGGCAAUUUGCGGAGCUGCUUCUUGCAGUGCUGCCGUCCCACUCCUCCCCCUCCGAAGCCCUUGUCAGAGACGAAGCAGCAGAAGAAGAAACAGCAGAUCGCUCUCCGUCUCGUCCUCCUCCUCCUCCUCCUCCUCCUCCUCUUCGUCAAUGGCAGCCCGCGACAUCGGGGGAUUCCUCUCGAAGCAGCCCUACCAUCCCCCUUCCUGGGCUUCGCACCUCCGCCCCAUCCCUUCCCACUCCCUCUCCCUCGGACACGUACCCGCCCCCUUCUUUGUUCCCCUUUUCUCGAAUUUAAUUUUGAAUUUUGCAGGUCAAUUUAAGGAUCAAUACAAGUAAUUAGGGUAAAUGGAAGCGAAUCAAUAAUUCAUAAUUUAAUAGGGUGUAAAGUUUUUUUUUUUUUUUUUUUUUUUUGAAAAUCAAACCAUUUCUCAAAUUAAUAUGGAGAGUUUAAUUUGAAAAAUUCUAGGGGCCUUCGAAAUGUUAUUUUGUGGUUUAUAUAAUUAAUAUAUUGUACAUCUAUUCUUUCUACAUUAAAGAAGGAUUUGGGAGGACCAUAGGUGACCCAUGUCCCCCUCCCAAACCCUCCUUUAUUCUCUUUCCCCUCCUUUAUUCUCUCUCUACUCUUCUCUCUCUCUCUCUCUCUCUCUCUCUCUCUCUANUAAUUUGUAUCCAAUACGAAACUAAAUGUUAGGUCUACUGUUAGACUGUUGGAUUUGAGGAAGUGGCAGUAGAAUAGUCCGGUUUCUAGCUAAAAUUAUCGCGAAAGAUCAUCAUCUAUGUUAUCAAAGAGUCAUUUUUAGAUGCCUAGCGCGACAAAAGUUUUGUUCGUUGUACUUGUGAUCAGAAUCUCUUAUUAGUGUUGUUAGCAUUAAGAUUAUACCCUUGUUACGUCGAAUGCCCGAGCUCCUGUAUUAGCAUGAUAUACUACUUCUGCAUGUUUCGUUUAGCUAUCUUCUUACACUCUCUUUGGUCGCUCGUCAGCUUCCGACUCCAAUUCACAAGUGGAACCUUCCUAACCUUCCAGAAGGCACUGAAGUCUGGAUUAAGGUUUAACUCGGAAUUAUUAUAAGCUGCUUGAGGAUGUUCACUUGAUUUCGUGCUUUCUGAACCUGGCAUUCUUUUCGAAAUUCUAGCGUGACGACCUCUCAGGAAUGCAAUUGAGCGGCAAUAAGGUCAGGAAACUCGAAUUCUUGAUGGCUGACGCUGUGGCACAAGGAGCGGACUGCGUCAUCACGGUGGGAGGUAUCCAGAGCAACCACUGUCGUGCAACUGCUGUGGCGGCGAGAUAUCUUAAUCUUGACUGCUAUCUGAUACUACGCACCUCCAAGGUUACAAAAAUUAGAAAUGGCUGAAAGUGCAGAUGCUUAAAGUUGAUAUCUUGAUCAGACAUUUUGAUUGACUAAUUGGUACUCUUACAGGUUCUUGUGGAUAAAGAUCCUGGUUUGGUCGGUAAUCUCCUAGUUGAACGCCUAGUAGGAGCACACAUCGAACUUGUUUCAAAAGAAGAAUAUGCCAAAAUAGGCAGCGUGGUUUGUUCACCUCUGUCAUUCCUUAUCGUACUGGCAUUAAUCAAGUCUCUGGGUUUCAGCUAAUUAUACGUUAAGUUUAGACCGAUGUUUCUAAGUCACAUACGUUAAGUUUUCUUUUUCUUGCUGCUUUAAUUUGAUUUCUUACUUAUCAUCAAAUGAUUCGUUACUCUAUUCUUUGGGCCUAGGCUCUUGCCGACAUGCUGAAAAGGAGACUUGUAAAUGAAGGAAGAAAGCCGUAUGUGAUUCCUGUCGGUGGAUCAAAUUCUCUUGGAACUUGGUAUGUCAAUAAGCAAACAAAAUGAAUAACAAUGCCUCUUCCGAUGUCAUAUUUCAUCAUUAUUUUUUUACUUGUUUCCAUUUCCUAAAAAAUAUGCCGAGAAACUGAAACUUGUGGAGAUACCGAAACAUGCCCUGAACUCAUCUAUUGGCAUUUCUUUUCAAUUUUCUUAGCCCUUUGGCUUCUUCUGAAGUACUCGUUACAAUGGUUGCUAUUUCAGGGGAUACAUUGAGGCAAUGCGGGAGAUUGAGCAACAAACCCGUUUAUCUGGUUUUCAGUUUGAUGACAUUGUAGUUGCAUGCGGCAGGUUAUUUUCUUGCCAAGCAAAUUUUUACAUCUUUUAGAAUGCUUAUUAGUUACUAUCCAUAAUUAUAUGAUCCAUGGCCUAAGAGCUUGUUUUUAUUUCGGAACCAUUCUAAUACUGUUAUAUGCUGGAAAGGAGUUUGCAUUAAAGCUGGCUUCCUUUUAUACACUUAGCUAUCGAGAUUUCAGUGUGUUAGCUUCCUGUCAAAUUUGGAGCUGUCACAGAAAGAGCUUCAAAACAGAUAGGAAGUUAAAUGACUUUGCAUAGCACAUACUACAUUUGCACACAUGAGCUAUUUCUCUUUAUGUUUUAAUUAUCCAUCACUCUCCGUAUCUUGUCAAAUUUUACAAAGUUUAAUGUGGAUAUUGCAACGAAUUCAAGUUUAAGGUUUUCUUUUUGACUUCUUCUUUUGAUUUGUAGUGGUGGAACUAUUGCUGGCCUUUCUCUGGGGUCAAGUUUGAGUAGUUUGAAGGCAAAAGUAUGCAACGACAUUAGAUUAGCAGAUUGUUAUUUCAUAGUUACAUAAUUACCUACUAAUCCUUGGUUUGUAGGAUAGGUUCAUGCAUUUUCUGUCUGUGAUGAUCCUGACUACUUCUACGACUAUGUUCAAGGCCUGAUUGAUGGACUUCAAGCUGGUGUCGAUUCACAUGAUAUAGUCGACAUUGAAAAUGUGAGUGGUACUUAACACAAAGUUUCUUACCUUCCAACAAUUCUAGCUAUACCUUUUUUUCUCUUCACAUGAAUGCCUUCUUCGAAAUUUACUUAACAAAGAAAGAAGAAAACUUCGUUUGUGGUUAAUUUGUGUUGUUUUCCUGGAAGAGAAGUCAUAAGUAUCUUUCUAAGCGACAAUAAUAUGACAUUUUGGCUUGUUUGUGUGGUUACUGAACUUAAAUCCUUUUCCCUUCAGUCGGUUUUGCUCAAUUAAUAGUAAUGUAACAGCCUAGAAGCCAUGUAAUGUACAUCAAGCACUAGCUCUAGCAGUUGUGUUUACUCAUGUAUUGCUUGUAAACAUAUCGUGGUUCUUUUGUAUUCUAUGUGUAUAAAAUGUGAAGUUUGUUUGAAGUAAAUGAAAGAUAUAUUUUUUUAUUAUGCCUAACCACUUUUUGAACUAAAAUUUGCCGUGCUACAAGUAAUUUUUUGGCUUCUAUGAUGAUAUUACUGGCAUUUAAGCUUUGUUCUAUCAAGUUGUGAAAUUUGCACUGUCGUUAAAAUAGGCCAAAGGCUUAGGGUAUGCCAUGAACACAGCGGAGGAGCUUGAAUUUGUUAAAAAGAUAGCAGCUGCAACAGGCAUUGUUCUUGACCCAGUCUACAGGUGCGACAGUUUUCAACUAUUUCUAAUUGAGAUUACAGGAAAUGUUUUUUAUGUUUCCCUUUUCUAAACCUGAGAUGUUAUUUUCAAAUAGCAUUUUACAUGAAGUAACUGGUCAUUUUACGAAAUCUUGGCAAUCUGUUUGCAAGAAUAUAGUCUAUAGGGAGAAGUAAAUAAUUCGCACUGCGAAGGAUCUUUUUCAGAUAACCUGCUGACCUUACACUUCCAAUUGAAAGAUCAUGCGGAAAAAAAUGAACUUUUUCCCAUGUUACAUAUUUGAGACAUGACUUAAAACUUGUUUAUCAAGUCAAGUGAUGCCUUUGAAUUUGGUUUAAGUGCCAAAUUUUUUCUUGCUGAAACGAGUAGCUCUUUAGUAUGUACUUGCCUUUCCUAACGCAGUGGAAAAGCUGCAUACGGUAUGUUGAAGGACAUGGACAACAACCCUGCAAAGUGGAAAGGGCGGCGAGUUCUCUUUGUGCAUACCGGCGGCCUCCUCGGGUUGUACGACAAGACCGAACAGAUGGCAUCUCUCGUCGGCAAUUGGCGUAGGAUGGAAGUUGAUGAGUCCGUUCCACGCAAGGACGGGACGGGGAAGAUGUUCUAAUGCUCUACUUCAUCAACUCUCCUUCAAAGUACUUGCUCAAUUUCCCAAUAGGAGCACAGUUUUUUUCGUUUUCUCUUUUCUUUUCCUUCCCUUUUUUUUUUUUUUUUUUUCUCUCAAGGGAUUGUUGUUAAUUAUUUUGGACAUAACGGGUCGAUAUUUGUAAUAAGAUUGGUAAACCAUGAUGCUAAUAUCAUUCAUGCCAAUGUUUUAAAUUUCUGCAUGCCAAUGUUUCAAAUUUCUGGAAUUCUCAAUAUACUACCAUGCAGAAAACAAACGAGAGGGACAUUUGGCCUUUGAUUUCUCAACAAUGUUACUGGUCUUAUUCCACCUGAGGAAUUGGGUUCUGCUUUGCAGUGAAAAGAUAAGGCAAAACAAAAAGCUGGGCAGCAGUGAAUUUUGUCCAAGUGCUUUUGCACCAAGCAGGUAGUUUUGGAAGAAAAAAGGGGUAAAAUGGCUUUCUGCAGCAUGGAAAACCCACCUGAGGAUUUCAAUACAAAAGCUCUACUAUCUUUUUGAACAGUUCCACUCUAAAACAGUACUUCCGCAGAAAUUUCAUAACAGCACUAUACUACAAGAGCUCCUAAGAAGAGAGAGUACAGGUGAUCAAAACAGAUGCAACAUGUAGCAGACUGACAUUUAUUCAGAAGGCACAACACACAGCAGUAAAGCUGAUGGACUGGCAGGGAAGAGUCUAGCCAUCAGCAAUCACCACUAUUCACACUAACACUCACACAAACAUACACGGAUACACCAUAGCAACACACCAGUGUAAUCCCUAAAAAGCACUCCACAACUAGCAAACUCCACUGGUUUUCUUGCGGUCCACCAGUUUCCGCCAAUACUUUGUGAUAUCCUUCUCCAUCUCCUGAACACUCUUCUUGACCAUCGUGCCGGCUGGCUUUUCCUGCACGCUGACAUUCACGAUCUUCGCUAUCUUAUUCGCGUGAUCCUCGAGCUCAUGCAACACCUUCUGGAUGUCGGCGACCAGCCGCUCUGCGAGGCUGCGGCUGAAGUCCUCCCUGAUCACCACGCGGAGGACGGCCACGCGCUCCGCAUCAGGCGGCAUGGUGUACGCAGGCACGAUCCAGCCGAACCUUCUUAAAUUCUCCGAGAUGUCGAAGACGGUGUACUUGCUGCUGUCCUUGAGAGCGAAAGCAACCAACGGCACGCCGGAUUCCUUCGAGACGAUUUCGAAUUGGCCGGUGUUCUCUAUUCCUUCCCUUAGGACUUUUGCGUUCCCCAUGCAGUUCUCCAUGAUGUCCUUAUACCCCUGUUCAAAUGAGAAUGUAAACAUGAUACUACAGAAGCAAUCACAAAAUAAAGACUUCAGUAGUUGCUUUCUGUACUGAAACAAUCAGAAUAAUCAGAGAGAAAUGUACCUCGAAGCCCAACCGAAUAAACUGAUAGUAUUGUGCAAUUAUCUGACUCGAACCUGCAAGAAUUCGCAAAGGAACAUUCUCAGAAAGCUACUCGUUGCGACGAAUCAAAUAGCCAGUUCGAUAAUUCUUGCCUUUAGAGAAGUUGAGAGUGAAUGUAGGCUGAUCUGCUCCAAGAUAGUUAAUAUGGAAAAUGAGCUCUUCGGGCAGAUCGUCCUUCCUCCUCCAGAUGACCCAACCGACACCUGCGUAGACGAGCCCGUAUUUGUGGCCGCUGACAUUAAUGCUCUUGACUAGGGGAAGUCGGAAAUCCCAUUCCAGCUCCGGAUUCAGGAAAGGUGCUAUGAAUCCUCCACUCGCAGCAUCGACGUGGAUAGGCGUGUCCCACCUGAACCACACGAGAAAACACAAGUCAUUGCUGAAAUCUAACAGCUAACACAACGAAUUGUAACAAAAUGUUACAUAGAAGGGAAUCUCAUCUUCUUUUUUUUCGUAUGUGCUUACCCUGUUUCCUUAUUUUUCGCUGUGAGCAGAUCGUUUAACCGCUUUACAUCCUCAAACUCCCCAUUGAGAGUUGAACCCAAGAUGGCCGCAACACAGAUAGUGUUCUCGUCGACCAAUUCCACAGCCUUCUCAGGGUCCAUUACAUAAUAUCCCUCCCUUAACUUAACCUCCUUUAGUUCGACUUCGAAGUACCUCGCAAAUUUCUCCCAGCAAACCUUGUAAAUAGAGAAAACAAGUUAAAGAAGAAAAAAGUUCAAAUCUGAGCUUAAAAGGUAGAAACUACCUGAACAUUGGCGCCGGUGACAAUGUUAGGUUUGUCGUGAGGCUUUCCCUCGGCCUUUCUUUUGUUCUGCCACUUUCUCUUGAAUGCUAAUCCUGCCAGCAUUAUAGCUUCUGAGGAUCCGACAGUUCCAACGCCUACUGCGGUUUCUUCCUCUCCAAUUGGAGCAUGGAAAAGGUGCGCGAUCAUAUUUACGCAGCGGUUCUGCAGGAAACAGAAAGAACAACAAAUUUGAGCAAUGCUAAUCAUGAACUUGACGCAUCACCUAGUACGAUAGAUAUACGGGUGAUUCUCGAAACAAUCUUUUGCACUCUCCCAUGAAUCCUUAAUCAUCAUGUACAACAAUAGACCACAACAAUCAGUAAACAAUGUUUCAUCUCCGACGACAUACCAGAGAAAAUAGAGAAACAGAUGAGUCUAAUGUUGGGCAUAUAAAUCAACACUUUUUUCUGCAAUUCUCUCCAGCUAAAAAGUAUUUGCACAAUUGAUGUCUUAAAGAGUCGAAAACCUUAUUAAAAAUCAGUAGCAAGCCAUAUAAGGCCUGUUGUAAAAUCUCUGAUUGCUGCCUACAGGCACUCUCUUUCUCUCCAAAAUUAACAAAGACUACUGCCGCCCUUAACAAGUAACGAGAAAUCAGUAAAUGUAGGCCUUCAAAGUUCAGAAAACACAGCUAAGAGAACUCAGUAAACAAUCAUUAUACAAGUUUAGCGCACGCGACAAUCUGAUGCUGAAGAAAUCGAACCAAGAUAACAGAUCAUGUAUUAUGAGCACAAAUUCAACUCCAACAACCUAGAUAAAGAAUGUGAGACUACAUUAUGAAACCACAAAUCUACGAAUUGCGUGUUUUUAACAUUAUUGUAAUAUAACUGAAGUAGGAAAACAUAGCAUAUUGAAACAAUUUUUCACUGUCAGAGAUAAUAACUCCUGAUUCAAUUCUGGUCCAGUUCAUCAAAAAACUAGAUAAUUCAAGUUCCAAAUACACUCUAUAACUAAGAUCAAUUCAAUUCCACCAAGAUUUGAUUCAGUUCCAAACAUUGUGCACAUGGUGGGUCCACACAGAACACAUCAGAAAAGAUCCAACUAAGAUAAGAGAGGCAAUGAAUUCAAAAGAUGUCCAACCGCUUUUGAUUGCAACAGAUAUGACAAGACGCGACACUAACCGACAUAAACACUAAUUAGAGUGGGGGACCAAAAUUUAUUCACAUUCACUGUCAAAAAACACCUGUCGACGAAUUUCCACAUCCUAAAACAAGAGCACUAGUGGAUAUUUGGCAAGCAAUUAUUGUAAGGACUUGGUCCAGCAGGUCAGUUGCUGAUAAACUGCAAUGCAUAGCAUCUCUGCUUUCGAUUUCCAUCACAAUUAAAAGGAAAAAAAAUAAUACUAAAUCUUGUGUUAAGAUUGAUAGUAACAACUGGAUGGAUGGCAGAUCAACAGGGUGGUUCACUUCUAAUGCAGCAGACCAGCUCUGGGGAGUAAUUUAUCCUUGUUGGUUUCUAUUCCCAGAACAUAGAACAGAAUUUAUAGAGCUUUUCGCCAACCAAAUACAGUAGAUGUAGGGGCCGGUUGGCCUAGAAUCUCGAAAAGUAAUUUCUGCAGAAUUAAUUUUGGUUUGGAAAAUUAAUUUUCAUUAAAAAAUGUAGAGUGUUUGACUCAGUAAGUGAUUUUAUAAAACUGUUUCACAAAAUCUUUUUGCUGCUUGCAAAUAAUAAUAAUUUUUGCUGAAUUUUAUUUUAAAAUUUGAAGUCAAAAAUUUAAAUUCGACUUUAAAAAUUUUAAAAAAAAAUUGUAUUUAAAAUCUGAACAAGAAUUUAAAAUUUAAUAUUUAAAUUUAAAAUAUAAAUUUAAGAUUUAAAAUUUAAAAUUUUAAAUCUUAAGAAGCAUUUGCUAGCUACAGUUGAAAGCUAUUAUGGAGACUUCAUGGAAAAAGCUCUAAUGCCUAUGCAAAAGCUGUCGGUGCUUUUUCGAUAAGUUGCACUUAAAAAGAACCCUUUUUUAAGAAUCUCCAGCACAUAAUAAAAAAAUAAUAAUAACAAAAUAACAUUAUUUACCGCUCAUUUCAAAUCUUGUUUUAGUGCGUCUUUCAACUGAGCCGAACUCGGUAUCUAUUGCUAUAAUAUAGCUGAGAAGUAACAAGUGAAGUUACCUGGAGCUCGGUGGUGACGGGGUACUCGUCCAUGUCGACAUAGUUCUUGUUGAUGGAGGCCAUGAUGAGCUUGUCGCACUCCGGCUCCAUCCACGUCGUCACGAACGACGCCAGGUUCAGCCGCGGGUUCCCGUCCAGCAUCAGCUCGUCAUUGAUGAUCUGGUACGCAGCGUCCUUCGGUAUCGCCUCCGCGGGCAUCUUAAACCUUCAUUCAUUUAUUCAUUCAUUCAUUCAUUCAUUCAUUCAUUCAUUCUCAUAAUAUGUUAUCGAAAUAUCUACUGAAAUUUAAGGAAUCAAUCAAUCAGUGGUCACCGCGGGAGUGCGGCGCGGACAUAGCGCGAAGCGAAGGUGUAGUGCACAGCCGUGUCGGCGUCGCGGAUCGCUUGGGAGAGAGCCAUGGAGAGAGAGUUUAUUGCUAUGUUUGGAGAAGGGGAAUUGGGGGGUUAUUUAUACAUUGUAUGAUUGGUUGCUAAGUUUGUGGUGUACAUAUAAUUGUUGCUGUUACGCUCCAUAUUGCUUUCAAAAGAAACAAAGGUGGGGUGGGGCAUAGAGAUUCCUUGUUCUUGAGGGGAAAAGUAAAUGGUAUCACUUUCAUCUGAUUGCUACUCCAGUACUAGAUCUCUGUGAGAAAAUAUCUUGUUCUAGGCAUAUUUUUGAUAUUACUAGAUCUCUGUGAGAAAAUAUCUUGUUCUAGGCAUAUUUUUGAUAUUACUGUGAUGCGGAAAAAUAUUUAUUUUUAUUUUUUCAAAAAAAUUUAAAAAAAUUUAAAGAAAGAAAUUGUAAGUGGGCAACCAAUUGAAUAAAUUAGAGUUCGGAUAAAAUAAAUUUUUGAAUGAAUUAGAGUUCGGAUAAAAAUUAUUUCUUUUGUUGUUUGUUUUUAUAAUUAUGGAACCGAAAAAGUGAAUAAUGCAUCUCAAUAGCUGUUUAUUACACAAAAAAUCGUGUUAGGAACCCCAACAAUCCAGAAGUAGAUUUAAAAAUAGUUUCAUAAUAAAUUUUAGUUUUUUUAAAAAGUUUCUAUAGAGUUUUAUAAGUCUAAUUAUUAGUUAAAUAAAAAUUAUAUAAAAAUAAUUUAAUAGUUAAUUCUAUUUAAAUAAAAAUUAUUAAAAUUGGUAUAUAUGCAACGUAAAUUUAUACAACAACUUAUUUUAUAAAGAUUUAUGUGAAAAAGAUUUGAGAUAAAUCUAUCUAAAUAAUUUUUUUAAAAAAUCAAUAAAUAGAAGGGAAAUUGUUUAAUAAAAUCAAUUAUAUAUAUACACACACAUACUAUAUUUCUAAAAUCUUACUCUUGAAAUUUAAAUUCUGUAUUUUUUUAUACAUCGAUAUUUUACGUGAUUUAAAUUCAUCUAUCAGAUGAUUAGAUUUUAUUACACAAUUUAUUACGUGUAUUAUUAAUAAAAUUAAUUAAUUAUAUUAUGUACAAUUAAUUAUUAAUAAAAUUAAUUAAUUNUAUUUUUUUAUACAUCGAUAUUUUACGUGAUUUAUUAAUAAAAUUAAUUAAUUAUAUUAUGUACAAUUAAUUAUUAAUAUAAUUAAUUAAUUAAUUAUAUAGAGUUUAGAGAUUUUAAAUUUUAAAUUUUCAAGUUUAAAAUUUGGAAAUAAAUAUUAUAAACUAAAAUUUAAAAUUUGAAAUAUAAAAUUUAGAAUUUGAAACUUUGAAAUUUGAAAGUAUCAAAACUUCAAAUUUUGAUAUUCAAAAUUUAAAAUUUUAUAUUAUAAAAUUCUAAAACCCUAUAUAGAGAGAGAGCGAGAAGGGGAGGGUUGGGCACGUGUCACUCCAAGGUCCCAAAACCAUCCUUUACAUCGUACUAGUGAAUUACCGGCGCGAUGCUGCGGAUAUAAAAAUUUUUUAUAAUAAAUUUUAUUUUUUUUAAUAUUUUUAUAUAGUUUUAUAAGUCUAAUUAUUAAUUAAACAAAAAUUAUAUAAAAAUAAUUUAGUAGUUAAAUCUAUUUAAAUAAAAGUCNAGCCGAUCGACGAUUCGAAAAUCGUAACAUCGAAAACGAGCUGGAAGCACGGAAGGCUCCGUGCUUCCGAUAGCAUAGUAGCCUCACUCUAAUAAUAAUAUAAUAAUAUAAUAAUAGAGAAAGAAUAGCCCCUGCACUUACACCUGUAGGUGGAAGGUGGAAGGGCCAAAUCAGUCUCAUAGUCAAAAAUCAAAAUCGGCAAGGGUAAACUUCAAAUACCUCCCGUGGUUUCGUAUUUUCUCACUUUGGUAUCCUACAGUUUAGUAUCCUAUAGUUUAAAAUGUAUCAAGUUAGUACCUUGUAAUUCAAAGUGUAUCGAAUUAGUACCCUGUGGUUUCUCAUUUUCUCACUUUAGUACCCUGUGGUUUAAAGUGUAUCAAAUUAGUAUCCUCUGGUUUCGCACUUUCUCAAUUUCGUACCCUGUGAUUUAAUAUUUCGUUAAAUUAUAUACAAAAAAACCUUCAGAUAUCCUAUCUAGAUUUAUCGAAUAUUUAUUUUAGCACCAUUUAGUUUUAACUUUGUCACUGAUUUAACGAAAAAAAAUAUUCCGAAAUAGAUAACAAAAAGAGAAAAAUAAAACCACAAGAUACUAACUUGAUACGAAAAUAAAAUCACAGAGUACUAACUUGAUACACUUUAAACCACAGGAUACUAAAGUGAAAAAGUACAAAACCACAUGGUACUAAUUUGAUACACUUUAAACCACAUGAUACUAAAGUGAGAAAGUGUGAAACCACGUAGGGGUAUUUGAAGUUUUUCCUAAUUUUUAUGUAUUGUGAAAAAUAAAAAAUAUAUUAUUUUUUAAAAUAGAAAAUAUAUUAUUUAUAAAUUAUUUUAUUAAGUAGGAGAUGAUAGAUUUUAUUGAACACAGUAAACGAUUCAACGCCUUCCAAUUAUUCCGUUGAAUCGGCCAAAUUAUGGUUAUUUGAUCGAAUAAAAUUUUCACAAAAUUAUUUAAUAAAUUAUAAAACUUUGAAGGUUUAUAUUAAAAAAAGUCCUCAAAAUCUAACUCAUCUUAUAAUAAUGAGAAAAAUAGUGCUAUCCAUAUAGAAAAGUUGCAUAAGUCUGCCGUGGAAGUAAUUUUUUAAAGUAAUUUUAUAAAGCUAUUUGGCAAAUUUUCUUAAGUGAUUUUGUAAAAAUUUUAAAUUUUAAUUUAAAAUUUUAAAGUAUUGAAAAUUUUAAAUUUUAUUUAAAUUUAUAAUUUAUAGUUCAAAUUUUUAAAAUUUAGAAUUCAAAUUUUUAAAUUUAAAUCUUUGAAUCAAAAUUAGAAUCAAAUUUUAGAAAGUAUGUUUUGGCUUCCAUUGGGACAUAUAUCUAGAGUCAUGAUUAAAAAAUUAAAAUCUGAUUUUGUAAAAGAGGUUAUGAAAAGCUAUAUUAAAAAAAAAAUCAAAUAGUGGACUAUAUCACCUAAUAAGUGGUUAAGUUGAUGUACAAAUGGUUCAAAUAGUUGACUUCUCACCUAAGCUGAUGUACAAAUAGUUUUUGUUUUAAUUCAUAUAAAUGAUGUUUUAUAAAAGAUUUAAUUCAUGUUUUAAUAUUAAUAACUGAAAUUUUGAAACUUGAAACUUGAUGUAUACACCAUAAAAUUACCGGUGUGUUUGGAUUGACGAAUUUUUGUAUCCAACGAAGCUUAAAGUGUAGUAGUGUUGGAGUUUUAUUAAAAUGCAGUUAUUUUUUUGUUAUUUAUUCCGAUGCAAUCCAUACAUCUAAAAAAUUAAAUUCAUGCAAUUUUUUUGUUUGUUUUGGUAUCUUGAUAUUAGUAUAAUUAAUUUUUUAAGUUUUACAUUUUUUUAUGUAAAUAAAUAGGUCUCGUUACCAUAUAAAUAUAGUGAUAAAUUUAUCUCCACAAAAUUUAACAUAUUAAAUAGUUAAAUUCUCUGUUAUUAUUUGUAAAGGUAAUUCUAUCCGAUUGUUAAGGAGGUAAUUCUAAUCCAAUGUAAAAAAAAAUAGAGUUUAAAUUUUAAUAUUUAAUAAAUUUUUAGAGAAGGUUGACAAAACAGCGCAAUAGAGAUGCUUUAUUGGAAAGUCUGAAUUUCUUGUCAUGUAUAAUAUUUAUCUCUAUCCUAAAUUAUAAUUUUUCUCUCUAAAAUCUAAAAUUUUUAGCUUUUAACAUUAAAAAUUACUUACUCAAUUAUUGAAUGAAAACAAAAUUAUAGUAUAUAACAGCGAAUUUGAGAUUCUCCAACAAAAUAUUGUUGGAAAGGUUUUGGCUAAAGUUUUAUCCCGCUAAGGGCAUGUUUGUUUGGGUGGAAGUGGGUGGAAGUGGAGAGGAGGGAAGUCGUUUUCGUUCUAAACGGUCACUUUCGUUGUUUGGUUUGCCGUAAAAAAGUUAAGGUCGAAACUCGAGUUAACCUCAAAUGGCGUAAUUGACUUUGCCCCAUUGGGGCGAAGUCAAUUACGUUGAAAAGAGGUGAAGAAAAAAUAAUAAAAUAAUAUAAUAGAUAAAGAUAGUUAUAUUUAAAUAUACUUAAUUAUGUUACUAAUUUUUUUAGGCCUUUUUCCAUAAAAAAUCCACUUAUUUUGGGCUUUUGCAAAACCGAGUCACCUUUUUCGCUUUUGCAGAUUCGGUCCGCUUUUUCAGCAAACUGACCAAAAUACCCUUAUUACUUUUUCUCUUUCCUCUUUCUCUCUCCUCUUCGUUUCUGUCGUUCUUUUUUUUUUCUCGCCGAAAAAAAAAAGGCGGACCGUCGCCUUCUUCUUCACCGUCGUCUCCCUCCUCACCAUCCUUCUUCACCGUCGCCCCCCUCCUCACCCUCCUCUCCACCGCCCGCGACCCCCUCCUCCUCUCCUCCGCCGCCGCGGACCCCCAGCCCGAUCCCGUCGCCGCGAGCGGCCGCGGCGAACGGGUUGGGCUGAUAUGCGGAGAAGAAGACUAACGCGAAGAAAAAAAGGGAGGGNNNNNNNNNNNNNNNNNNNNNNNNNGAAGGUUUGCUAAUAUCGAUUUUAUUCCCGCUACGCGCAUGUGUGUUUGGUGGAAGUGGGUGAAGCGGAGAGGAGGGAAGUCGGUUCGUUCUCAAUCCGGUGCCACUUCGUUUGUUUGGUUUGCGCCGCCGUGAGUGAAAGAAGUUGGAAUUCCCUCACAAUUCGAGCUUAACGCUCAUGGCGCAUAACCUUCAGACUUUGGCCGCCACCACAUUGGGCGGGCGAAGCUCGAAUUGACACGUUGAAUUUCUAUCACGAAGUGUGAAGGAGAAGCAAAAUAAUGAAGAGGCACACAAUUUGACAGAGAUAAAGACAUAGUGAGUAAGUUGCAACGAUAUAACUGAGUAAUUAUGUUAUUCUCAAGCCUGUGUUUCAGGGCCUUUUCCAUAAAAAAUGACUCCACUUAUUUUGGAGCUUCUGCAAAACCAGAGUCACCUUUUUCGGCUUUUUGCGGUCGACAGUGCACGCAAUUGGACUCUUACGGCCUCCGAGCCGCCGCCAGGACGGCAUCGCAGCAUCCGUUUUCAGGCAAACUGACACUAAAAUACCCUUUUACUUUUCUCUUUCCUCUUCUCUCUCCUCUUCGUUUCUGUCCUGUCUUUUUUUGUUCUCGAGCUGAAAAAAAAAGGCGGACCGUUAUCAGACCUGGGCGUUCUUCCAUUCACACCGCCCGUCGCAUCGGUCGUCGCCCCAGACGCACUCACCGAUCCUUCCACACUCAACGUCGCUCCGGACGGCGCAUGUACGCCGCUAACGAGAGCGGCAGUAGCCGAGGGUGGUGAUGUAUCAUUUUCCUUUGAUGCAUUAGAGUUCGUGCUUUAUCUGAUAUCUGAUAGUCGGCAUUCAUUCAUAUGAUGCGUCCUCACCCUCCUACUGCUGUUCGCCGAGUUGCAAUGCACCCAUUAGCUCGCCCUGGGAACCCGUCCUCCUCUGGUCCGCCGCCGCGGACCCCCAGCCCGAUCCCGUGCGCCGGCGGCGGCUAUAGCGGCCGCGGCGAACGGGUUGGGCUGAUAUGCGGAGAAGAAGACUAACGCGAAGAAAAAAAGGGAGGGCAAGGCAACACGGACAGGAGGGGGAGGCGGAAGCGCAACCGGCGCGCACCAGCGCCGCGCAUGUUCUUCUUCCAUCGGCGCUGCCCCUCCUCCGCGCCGCAGCAGAGCGCAGAAAGCCGUAGACUGAUUGACAACGCCUCGCUUCUCCCCUCCACGACGCGCCGACGUGUCUGAGAGCGCCGCUCCGCCGCGGACAGGUAAUAGCCCACCCGAUCCCGUCGCUGGCAGCGGAUGCGGCCGCGGCAGACUGGCGAUCGCGACUGUUUUUUUAAUUAAAACACUGCAACAUUCUUUAAACAGAUUAUUUAUACUAGCUUCUCUCCUCUUGUUCACGUUCUCCCUUUAAUUAAACAGUGGCAACAGAGAGAAACAGUGCCAACAGAGGAAAGGCAGUAUAAAAUAUCUCUUAAAUUGGGGCAGUUUAAGAAUAAUUGGGUGCCGUUUUUUUUUUUCUUAGUUGGCAAUGAUAUCCGAACCCCAAUUUUCUCUGUUACACCUAUUUUAUUUUAAUACUACACAUCGUAACAGUAUAGUUUAUACUGCUUCUCCUCUUGUUCAGUGUUCUCCUCUUGUUGCCUGUUUUUUUUCUUUCCUCUUUAAAGAGAACACUAGUGCAACAAGAGUAAUAAACAUGCCAACUAAUGAGUAGAACAGUAUAAAUAUCCUUAAAUGAGUGCAUCUUUUUGUGUUAAUGAUAAAGCAGUUUUUUUUUUUUCCUUGUUGAUUAGCCAAAAUCAUAUUUUCUUCGUUUGUUACGAUAGAUUUCUGUUUUUAUUUUAAACUACAUACCCCCAUCUUUAACAGAUAUUAUCUGUUCCCUCUUGUUGCACAACAAAACUGUUUCUUCCUUCUCUUCUCGUGCUUCUUCUUCUCUUUAAAGAGGAGAAGCUGUUUCUUCUUCUGCCUCUUAAAGAGGAGAAACGAGCACAGAGGAGAAACAGAGUGCAACAGAGGAGAAGCAGUAUAAAUAUCCUCUUAAUGGUGCAUUAUGUUUAAGAUUAAGGUGCGAGUUUUUGCUUAUUGCGACAUUUUUUUUCUCUUGUUACACACUGUUUUUUAUUUUAACCUAACUGGAAUAAAAACUACACAUAUUAAAAACCAGAUAUUUAUGACUGCUUCUUCUCCUCUUGGUUGCACUGUUUCUCCUCUUUAAAGAGGAAAACAGUGCAGACAAAGUAAAGGCAGUAUAAAUAUCCUCUAAAUGAGUGCGUUAAGAUAAAUCGGGUGCAGUUUUUUUUCCUGUUGGCACAAAUUUUUCUCUGUUAAUCUGUUUUUUUUAUUUUAAACUGCACCAUUUGAAGAGAUAUUUAACUUGCUUCUCCUCUUUAAAGAGGGAAACAGUGCAACAAGACGGAGAAACAGAUGCACAAGAGGAGAGGCAGUAUAAAAUAUCUCUUAAAUGGGUGCAUGUUUUUAUAGAUAUGGGCACAGGUUUUUUUCUUGUUGGCACAAGUUUUUACUUUUGUUAGCCCACACUGUUUUUUAUUUUAACUACACAUUUUCAACCGUAUAUUUUAAACUGGGGGUUCUCCUCUUGUUUGGCAACUGGUUCUCGCUCUUUUCUCUCGUCUUUAAAGAGGAGAACAGUGCAACAAGAGGAGAAUCAAGUGCAACAAGAGGAGAAACAGUGUCUAAAUAAUCUCUUAAGGUGCAGUUUUAAAGAUAAAAAAUAAAUUAAUAAGUAACAAGAGGAGUAAUGAUGCAACAAGAGGAAAAACGGUGCAACAAAGGAGAAAUAAGGCAACUUUCCAUUUGAAAGAGUGUAAUUUUAUCUUAGUGCGUUGCAGUUUAUAUCUGAAAAGAGUGCAAUAAGAAGAGAAAACAGUGUAAAUAUCUUUCAAGAGAUGUAAUUUUUAUUAAAAAGUGUAAUUUUUAUUUUAAAGCUGCAGUUACCAUCUUAAAUAGUGCAACUUGUAAUUUUUUUUGUAGUUAACGAUACAAUUUCACACUGUCAUCCUUUUUUUUAUAUAAUUUUUAUUUUAUUUUUUUUCUGUUUUUGUUUUUGUCACGCCUCUCUGUCAUCAGCACGGUGUCGGUGACGUGGCCGGUAAAGACCCCCCACUCUAGGGCUACAUAGGGCCGCAGUGAUCGUCCACGUGUCGGCGUCGGUGUCGGCGAAGAUGCAUCGUCGUCGAGGCGGCAUAGAAGGAGGGAGGAGAGACGGGAAGGCAGGAGAGCGAGAGAAGGCGGCCAUCGUCGAAACUGUGGAGGAGAGUCAGAGAAGAAAAGAAAGAAAAAAUGCAAAAAAAAAAAGUCACAGCCCGGCUUAGGGGGAUCGGCAGGCGAGGAAGGUGGGGGCGCGGCAGCGACGCGCGCUCUGUCUUCGCCGCUCUGUGGGAAGAGAAAGAAAAAAAAGAACUGAGAGAAAAAAAAGAAAAGAAAAAGGUAUAAGGGCACCUCCGCUCCGUCUUCGCCGCUCUCUUGGAAGAAAAAGAAAUAAGAACGAGAGAAAAAAAGAGGAGAGAAAGAGGAACAGAGAAAAAAGUAUAUAGGAUAUUUUGGUCAGUUUGCUGAAAAAGCGGACCGAAUCUGCAAAAGCCAAAAAGAUGGCCCGAUUUUGUAAAAGCCCAAAAUAAGUGGAUUUUUUAUGCAAAUUGGCCAUUUUUUUAUCCAGUUAAUAUAUCUAAAAUAUGAUAAAAAUUGAUUAGUUAAGUUUUAAUAUUUUUUAUUUAGUUUGUUCAUUUAAAAUAUGAUAAAAGUUGAUUAAUUAAAUAUUAAUAUUUUUUUUACUUUAUAAUUUUUAUUAUUUAUUACUAUAAUUUAUGUAUAAGAAAAUUAUUUAGUUGUUUUAAAUUAAUUUUAAUUAUAUAAAAAUAUACUUAUAUUAUUUUUAUUUAUUAAAAUAUUUAUUAUUUAUAUAUAAAUUAUAUUUUUACAUAAUACACUUCCUACCAAAUAAAUAACAGAACUAAUGAAACUUUACUUCCAUAGCUACGAAACAAACAGCGGAAAAGAAGUAGUUUUCACCGAAUUUCACUUCAACUCAAAGUCCACUUCAACCUAAAGUCCAGUUUAAGUGAGGUGUCCGAGGUUUCGUUUUCACACGUGUCGGAAGGAUGAUAACAACAGGUUAUUUAAUAUGAUUAAUAAUUUGUAAAACUAUAUUAUCAUUAAAUUAUUGGUAUAUAUUUUUAUAAAAAUAAAAAAUAUUUUUUAUUUUAUAUUUUAACUGUGCACAACGUACUUUUUUAGCCAGGUGUACGUUUCAGAAACGUCUAACAUAGACGUGGCGGAAAGGUCGUGGGUAAAGCUGGGACGUGGAAAGUUGGAUUCGACAAAUAAGGGCUUAAUUAUUUUUAAAAAAAAUUAUGCAGUUUAUUUUGUAUCUUAAAUAUUUUUUGCAUAAAUAAUUUAAAUAAUAUUCCAAUCCAAGAGGCAAUAGCAAAUGAUUUGACUAGCAUUACAACUUGUCGGUAGAUGAUUUAGUUUUUUUUUGUAGUGUCUAUUAGACGAAUUCGAAAUAUGAAAAAGAAAUGGACUGAGUUUGGAAUAACUUGUUUUGAUAGGGAUGUAUAAUUUUUUUAUUUUUGUUUUUAUUUUCCGUCGUUCUCACCAUCUUUUAACUUUUUCGAAAUAUUUUUGUCUCAACUUUAUAUUGUUGAAUUCAUAUACUCAUAAUUGAAUGAAGUGAAUUAAAUAACAUGCUACAUUUAUCAUAAAAAAAUUAAAUAAUAUUAAUGUUGUAUUUUAACACUUUUUUUAUUUUUAAUGAAAAGUUAUUAUAGUGAUGGGGUCACAAAACCAUUCGACAUUAAGAAUGUUUAAAUUUUUGCAUAAAAUUAUUUUUCAUAAUUCAUAUUAAGUUUUGAUCUUUGAAGGUGUGUUUCAAUGUACUAUCUAAACAUAUCUUUGUUAAAAUUAAAGGAGUCCUAACUAAAUAGCCCAUUUUAAACAGAACAAAAAGUGCAGGAUAUGAUAUUAUUUAAAUUUUUUAUGCCGGGGAAUAUUUAAAACACGAAGUGAACCAUAAAAGUAUUUUUACAAUAUAUACGGAGACAUUGAGGAUCAAGCACAUACGACAUGAAAGGAGGGUAAAUCACAGCCGUUCGUUCGCAACCUGCCUAAGAUACGGCUCAUGUAUUAGUGUACACUCGUUGCACGAGCGUUUAGAAAUAUGCAACAUAUGUAGUAGGAUGUUGUAGAUGAUUAGAGAUGAUUCUAGAAAGAAGAAUCUCUCACGUUGUGGGGCCAUAUUUGUACAAAUGUUUCUCCCUUUAUUUGAUGUUUGAUUUAAUUUAUGCUUUUUUUUUCCUCUUAAAUAUGUUGGAAAAAAUUUUCUGAUCUUUUAAUAUAAUAUUUUUCAAAAAUCAAUUCGAAAAUUUAAUUAUAGUUUAAAAAAAUUUCGAAACGAAAUUAAAUAACAAAUACGGCAAAGAAAAGAUUUAGAUAAGACCUGUGGAUAGAGACGUGCAGAGCACUGUUCUAGAAACGAAAUUGCCCCUCCACGUGCAAGGUUUUCCGGCAAUUACUCCUAGCAAUACAAUGUUGUCACCUCGUCGGCAUGCUUCCAAGGUGGCGCAAGACGAACCCAACCAGCUUCAAAUCCAGCAAAAGAAAACUCGACGAAAAUCCAGAAAGUAGAAAAAACCGAGAGGCUUUAGGUUUGCUCGGGUUAUUAAUUAACUCGUAUGUAUAGAUUGCACGCGCGAGAGUAUUACCAAACAACUAGCUUGAGAAUAAAGCAAUAUAUAAAAAUCACAAACACCAUUUUGGUUUCCAAUGUGGGAUUAAACAUCUCACAUGAAAAUUUUAAGUUGGGCUUUCAAGAGGCCCAUUAAUAAUUAUUGGGUUUUUCAAGUGGUUUUAAUAAAUUUUAAAUCACAAAAUCCAAUAAAAACCCAAUAAAAUAGAAUGAUUAGGAGUUGUCGGCCAAAUUUAAAAUCGAAUCUAUUGAACUAUCAAAAUAUAUUCUUCGUGAUCUUAUUUUAAUGAUUGGCUAUCAACUGCUAGAGCAGUUAGUUAGGUACAUUUAAUACUGAAUAAGUAUCUGAUUCAAAUCCUGCUUUAAUGAGAAAAAAAAAGAAGAAGAUGUGUGCGCGCGUUUUCUAGUUGCAUAAUGUGAAAUAAUAUAAUAUUUAGUAUUUUUUGCAUAGCAUUAGAGAGCUAGUUAGCUAGAGUCUACUCCAGUAAGGUUUGAGUUGAGAAUACAAAUCUCGUAUGAAAUGUAACUGAUCGAUUUAGUGGUCGGUGGUAGUUCGUCCUUUGACACUUUUUUUGGGCCUUGUCUACAUUGUUGUCUUUCGAGUAUCCUCUCUUUUAUUGUAUGGGCUUGAUUCAAUUCGAAUUGUGGGCUCUCUCUUGGGCUGGUGUUAACGACACAAAUCCAAAAUCCAAACCCACUAUUAUUAACACUAGCCAAAUUACUUUUUAUUUUUAAAAAUAUCAGAAAUAGUCGUAAUAAUUUAUUCCAUUGCAGAAAUUAAAUUUAAAACCACUGAGUUUUCUCGAGAGAUAAUAGGUAGCACGUUAUCCGCUUCGUUUAUUUCAUUUCGAAAUAAACUUAGUUGGAAAAUUGAAUUAACUAAGAUUCGAACUUGGGACCUCGGGUACCAACCAACAAGCCCUUUACCACUUGCUCUAGGGAUCGAUCAGUAAUAUGUUUAAAAUAUUAAACUUUAAUACGUAAGAGUGUUAUUUAUGCUCACUGUUGCGAAUGAUAUGAGAUUGAUUACAGGCCCAAUUUACACUGAUUCCAUGCUUCUUUGCUAGGGAUGCAAAUAGAUCCUGGCUGGCGGUGCUUCCGCCCCGAUCCACUUAGAAUAGGGCGGUUAGUAGGGACCCCAAGAAAGAAAACAUAAAAAUCGGUUUUGAAUCCAUUCCAAUCUAUAAAAAAUGGAGUGCAUGUGGGGAAUCCCUUUCUUUGUCUAUUCUAAUGUGCUACCGCUCAUUUCCCUACCCGCUCUGAAUGAAACAGUAAGUGGGGACUAAAAAUAGUAUAAAAAUUAAUCUAUCUCGAAUCCGCUCCGCUUCGCUAAGAAAACAGAAAGGAAGGUUGGGGACCUCUCCGUCUCCCAGAUCCGCCCGUCCAUAACUAGGGAGUCUAAUAUAAGGCCGAGUUGGGUUAGCCCUACCCACAUAAUUCAGAACAGGGUUACGCCUGAAAACAACCCAACCCAACCCAACAUGGGUCUGGAUUCGAACCAAACUGUGUUGACUCAUCUUUUGGCGGUUCAAAGGCAAAGAAGUUUAUUGUAUCACACUUGCAUCACAUCAUCAAUAACAAACCAAUCAUAUUUUUUUAUUCUUUUAAAAAAUAUAAUAAACUAUUUUUUAAUUUUUAUAAUCAUGAUGGAACAAAUAAAUUUAAAAAAUAUUUGAUUGGUUGGGAAUGCCAGGACUGAUGCAUUUCAGAAUUUUUUGUUCAAGGCACAGCGAUACAGCAUGCUUGUCCUUUCUCUUAAUCUUCUAAAUUUGUUUUCUAUUAAAUAAUGCAAAAAAAAAAAAAUUGCUCAAAACAUAUUAGAGAAGAAAUCUAAAUUUUGCUCAAAAUAUAUUAUAAUCGAGAAGAAAUUUAAUGUACACAAAAAAUAUAUUAGAAAAUACUUAUAUUUGUGCCUGCUCCGAAAUAGUCUACAGUUCAAGUAAGCUCUAUGCAUUUAUUGAAAAAAAAAAUCAGAAUAUUUUAGCACUUUGAAUAUUUUUUUUUACAAUAUACUGAUGGAAAUUUCUUUUUUUUACAGAUUUAAAAUACAUGGAGUAAAUCCUAAAACUCUGUUUUUUGAUACGAUUUUGCUUUUACCUCUAAAAUAAAUAGAACUCAAAAGCCUGGUUAGCAUGCAUGUGCUCCAACUUAAAAUGCCUUAUAUAGCCCUUUAAAAUUUUAAAAAUAUCUAAUAUAUUAUUAGUUGACCAUAAUUAGUCAUGUUUAGUUAAGGGUGCGCCAAAAUAUAAAAUUUGAGUCGUGCAUCUCAAUUUGAAUAAAUCUGUGAUGUGACUGCAUCACAAUUAUAAAUUAAUUAGUGUUUUUCAUUCACUAAAAAAAAACAUAAUUUAUAACUUGCCAAACAUCUCUAUUAUAUUUCACAUAUAAAAAAUUAUUUUAUUAUAAAAAAUUUAACUUCUAAAACUAAAUAUAAUAUAUUUUUUAUAUAUUUUAAUUGUGCUAUUAAUACAUCAAAUACUAAUAGCUUCUUCUUCUUCUCCUUCUCUCUCUCUCUCUCUCUCUCUCUCUCUCUCUCUCUCUCUCUCUCUAACGAAACCGAUCGCCGAAUCAGACGUCCCAUCAUCAAAAACAACUUACAAGUACGAAAGCCCCCGUACUUUCGAAAGCAUAGGAGCCUAGCUCAUAUAUAUAUAUAUAUAUAUAUAUAUAUAUAUAUAUAUAUAGAGCAGGGCUGCUGUGCUCUCAGGAGCACGGAGGCCUCUCCGUGCGCCUACGGGGGCGAGUCACCGUUUACGAUUACGGAAUUUUUGAAUCGACGAAUCGCAACAACACGCUCGUUAGACUUGAUCUAGCGAAUUUUGAAGUUCUAAGAAAAUAUAUUUUUGCGCAUUUUUCGAUAUCAUUUACUAGUGGAUCGGAAGGAUUCAAAUCGUAUGAAUUUUAUAAUGGUUAGAUAAUCUGCGUUUUCACAUUUUACGGUUGUAGAACGUAUAUCAAAUCAGUAUGAAAUUUUGAUAGAAAAUUUCUUUAUACUAUCUAGCAAAAGAUCUAUAUUUCUGGAUCGAAAAUUUUUAGUGCUUAUAUACCGACACAUUUAUAUAGGAUUUUUCAUUUUCAAAGCGUUAACAAAUUAUUGAUUUUGAAUCUUUUCGAUUGGCUAGGUAAAUGAUAUCGAGAAAAUCGUAAAUUAUUUUCUACGAACUUUAAGAAUACCUAGCAUCAAGUUUUAACGGAGCGAUCGUGCGAUUCGAAAAUCAUCAUCGAAACGGCUCAGGAGCACGGAGGCCUCCAUGCUCCUGAGAGACAGCAGCCCUGCUCUAUAUAUAUAUAGUAGUAAUAAUAAUAUAUAAAUAUAUAGAUGAGGCCUACUAAUGCUAUCGAACAGCAGGAGCCUGCCGUGUUCCAGCUUCAGGUUUCGAUCGUUGCGACUUCGCAAUCGUCGAUCGGUCUUUAAACUUGAUCAUAGAGUAUUUGAAGUAUCUAGAAAAUAAAUUUAUGAUUUUACUCAUUUUUGCCUAGUGAAGAAGGGCUCAAAAUCACGGCUGAACAAAUAAAAAUCUUACAAAAUGUAAUAUAUAAACAUUUAAAAUUUUUAAAUCAAAGAUAUUGAAUCAUUGUUUUUAUAUAGUGUAAAGAAUUUUUAUCAAAUGUCAGCGUGAUUUGGAUAUUUGCUACACNNNNNNNNNNNNNNNNNNNNNNNNNNNNNNNNNNNNNNNNNNNNNNNNNNNNNNNNNNNNNNNNNNNNNNNNNNNNNNNNNNNNNNNNNNNNNNNNNNNNNNNNNNNNNNNNNNNNNNNNNNNNNNNNNNNNNNNNNNNNNNNNNNNNNNNNNNNNNNNNNNNNNNNNNNNNNNNNNNNNNNNNNNNNNNNNNNNNNNNNNNNNNNNNNNNNNNNNNNNNNNNNNNNNNNNNNNNNNNNNNNNNNNNNNNNNNNNNNNNNNNNNNNNNNNNNNNNNNNNNNNNNNNNNNNNNNNNNNNNNNNNNNNNNNNNNNNNNNNNNNNNNNNNNNNNNNNNNNNNNNNNNNNNNNNNNNNNNNNNNNNNNNNNNNNNNNNNNNNNNNNNNNNNNNNNNNNNNNNNNNNNNNNNNNNNNNNNNNNNNNNNNNNNNNNNNNNNNNNNNNNNNNNNNNNNNNNNNNNNNNNNNNNNNNNNNNNNNNNNNNNNNNNNNNNNNNNNNNNNNNNNNNNNNNNNNNNNNNNNNNNNNNNNNNNNNGUAUUUUAGAAUAACGGUGGAACAUAUGAGAGGCAUUUUAGAAAGAAAAAAAAAAACAGGGGUAGAUCGGAUAUAUCUGAGCGUAUGAGGGGUAUAUAGGCAAUUAUCGCUAUUAAUAUAUAUAUUUAUAUGUGUAUGUAUGUAUGUAUGCAUACAUAUAUAUAGACAUAUAUAUACAGAACUAAGCUACUAUACUAUUAAUAGCACCAAGUCAUUGGUGCUAUUAGGUUUUGGGCUCUUGGAUGAAUGGAUGUGCGGUUAGAAUAAUAGUGGACCUAGGGUUGAAUAGGUGGUUGAUUAGUAUGAUCUAAUGGGUGGAAAUAGUCAAAAGGAUAGAUUUAACGGCGGAAAACUUUGUAGUACCAACUGCUUGGUGCUAUUGUAGCAUAGUAGCCAGGCUCUAUAUAUACAUAUACCUAUAAAUAUAUAUAUAUACACACAUACAUAUAUAUACAUACGUACAUAUAUAUAUAUGCAUAUGCAUAUAUACGUACAUAUAUAUAUAUAUAUGGGAUAAUUGCCUAUAUACUUCUCAAAACUUCGGAAAUAUCUCAUCGACCCUUACUUUUUUUUCUUUUCAAUAUACCCUUUAUAUAUUUCUUUAUUAUUCCAAAAUACCCGUGAGUUAAAUAUCUAUGACAAUUAAAAAAAAUUAAAAUGUUGCUUUUGUCCUUAACUUAAGGGCAAAUAAGAAAUAUUGGUGAUGAUAGAGGGGUAUAUUUGAAAAGACCAAAAAAUAAAAUACUUUUUGUGCCCCUAACUUAAGGCAAAUAAAAAAAGUGGGUGCGGUAGAAGGGUUAUUUGAAAGGACAAAAUAAUAAUUUUAUAGAAAUAAAAGAGUUUAUUAAUAGAUUUUAACUCUAGAAGUAUAUUUGAAAUAGGUUGGAACGUUAAAAGAGUAUUUUCAAUAUUAGCCUUCUAAGAGGGGGAAAUCAGAAAGUUGAAAACUUUUCAAGCGUAUAUAAGCAAUUACCUAUAUAUAUAUAUAUAUAUAUAUAUAUAUAUAGAACUAGGUUAAUAUACUAUUAAUAGUACCAAGUCAUUGGUGCUACCAAGUUUUUGGCCAUUGGAUUAAGAGAUGUGCGAUUAGGAUGAUGUGGGCUCCCUAGGGUUGAGUGGGUGGUUGGUCGAAUAGUAUAAUCUAAUGGAUAAAAAUAAUCAAAUGAUU